ACUCGUGUGAGAUAAAUUGUGGUC
rnacentral:siRNA from 1 species